rnacentral:rRNA from 1 species
AUUAGGUAGUUGGUUAGGUAACGGCUUACCAAGCCAUUGAUCGGUACGGGUUGUGAGAGCAAGAGCCCGGAGAUGGAACCUGAGACAAGGUUCCAGGCCCUACGGGGUGCAGCAGGCGCGAAACCUCCGCAAUGUGAGAAAUCGCGACGGGGGGAUCCCAAGUGCCAUUCUUAACGGGAUGGCUUUUCAUUAGUGUAAAGAGCUUUUGGAAUAAGGGCUGGGCAAGACCGGUGCCAGCCGCCGCGGUAACACCGGCAGCUCUAGUGGUAGCAGUUUUUAUUGGGCCUAAAGCGUCCGUAGCCGGUUUAAUAAGUCUCUGGUGAAAUCCUGUAGCUUAACUGUGGGAAUUGCUGGAGAUACUAUUAGACUUGAGACCGGGAGAGGUUAGAGGUACUCCCAGGGUAGAGGUGAAAUUCUGUAAUCCUGGGAGGACCGCCUGUUGCGAAGGCGUCUAACUGGAACGGUUCUGACGGUGAGGGACGAAAGUUAGGGGCGCGAACCGGAUUAGAUACCCGGGUAGUCCUAACCGUAAACGAUGCGGACUUGGUGUUGGGGUGGCUUUGAGCUGCUCCAGUGCCGAAGGGAAGCUGUUAAGUCCGCCGCCUGGGAAGUACGGUCGCAAGACUGAAACUUAA